rnacentral:lncRNA from 10 species
ACUAUGAUUGCACCAUUGCCUGGGCAAUACAUCAAGACCCUGCCUCAAAAGAAAACAAAACAAAACCAGAAAAUCAAAUCUAUCUCAUCAUUAGACCUGCGAUGAACCAUUCCCCUGCAACAUACCAUUGGAACGCUGAAAAUUUAGAUGUAAAAAAGCCUUCCCUAUUCCCUUCUGGGAAUUCCUCUGUGACCACUCACUUCUCCCCACUUCUUCCUCCCACUCCCCCACCAGGGUCGGAAAAUGUCUGUGUGCACCGACAAUGUCACUGACCUCCGGAUUCCUGAGGGUGAGUCAGGGUUCUCCAAAUCUAUCACAGCCUACGUCUGCCAGGCAGUCAUCAUCCCCCCAGAGGUGACAGGCUACAAGGCCGGGGUUUCCUCACAGCCUGUCAGCCUUGCUGACCGACUUAUUGGGGUGACAACAGAUAUGACUCUGGAUGGAAUCACCUCCCCCGCUGAACUUUUCCACCCGGAGUCCUUGGGAAUACCGGACGUGAUCUUCUUUUAUAGGUCCAAUGAUGUGACCCAGUCCUGCAGUUCUGGGAGAUCAACCACCAUCCGUGUCAGGUGCAGUCCACAGAAAACUGUCCCUGGAAGUUUGUCGCUGCCAGGAACGUGCUCGGAUGGGACCUGUGAUGGCUGCAACUUCCACUUCCUGUGGGAGAGUGCGGCUGCUUGCCCGCUCUGCUCAGUGGCUGACUACCACGCUAUCGUCAGCAGCUGUGUGGCUGGGAUCCAGAAGACUACUUACGUGUGGCGAGAACCCAAGCUAUGCUCUGGUGGCAUUUCUCUGCCUGAGCAGAGAGUCACCAUCUGCAAAACCAUAGAUUUCUGGCUGAAAGUGGGCAUCUCUGCAGGCACCUGUACUGCCAUCCUGCUCACCGUCUUGACUUGCUACUUUUGGAAAAAGAAUCAAAAACUAGAGUACAAGUACUCCAAGCUGGUGAUGAAUGCUACCCUCAAGGACUGUGACCUGCCAGCAGCUGACAGCUGUGCCAUCAUGGAAGGCGAGGAUGUGGAAGACGACCUCAUCUUUACCAGCAAGAAGUCACUCUUUGGGAAGAUCAAAUCAUUUACCUCCAAGAGGACUCCUGAUGGAUUUGACUCAGUGCCGCUGAAGACAUCCUCAGGAGGCCCAGACAUGGACCUGUGAGAGGCACUGCCUGCCUCACCUGCCUCCUCACCUUGCAUAGCACCUUUGCAAGCCUGCGGCGAUUUGGGUGCCAGCAUCCUGCAACACCCACUGCUGGAAAUCUCUUCAUUGUGGCCUUAUCAGAUGUUUGAAUUUCAGAUCUUUUUUUUUAUAGAGUACUCAAACCCUCCUUUCUGCUUGCCUCAAACCUGCCAAAUAUACCCACACUUUGUUUGUAAAUUAUGCCCUUGCUUGUAUCUUGUUUCCCAAAAUGGCCCAUCCGCCAGAGCCAUAGCUUUGUCUGCUCAUAAUUCUUACAGCUCUGGAAUGAAGAUAUUUCUCUCUUCUUAAGUAUAGAAACUAUUUCCUCUGUCCUCUAACUUAAGUGCAGAAACAGCUGGGAGCUUUCCUCGCAUGCCCUCAGCUCAUGAUCUCUUUAGGAGAGAGGCUGGGUGAGGAGGGUGUCGGGGUUCCCUGGUGGACAAUCUUCAUAGCAGCCUGGAUCCAUUUCCCGUGGAUAACCAGCUCAAAGGGAGUGAAAUGGGUAGUCUGAGGGCAAGGUGAGUAAGGCCUGGGUAAGAAAAGGCUUGAAAAGCACAAAGAGAGGCAACAAGGAAUGGUUUUGUUUUUGAGACAGGGUCUCGCUCUGUCACCUAGGCUGCAACAGUGGCAUAAUCACUGUUCACUGCAGCCUCAAUCUCUUGGGCUCAAGCUAUCCUCCCACCUCAACCUCCCAAGUAGCUAGGACUACAAGUGUGCACCACCAGGCUCACUAAUUUUUGUAUUUUUUUUGUAGAGACCGGGUUUCACCAUGUUGCUCAGGCUGGUCUCCAACUCCUGGGCUCAAGUGAUCUGUCUGCAUCAGCCUCUCAAAGUACUGGGAUUACAGGCAUAAGCCACUGCACUCAGCCUUUUAUUUGUUUUUUAAACCGGGUAACUCAUUCUUUUCUCUUAAGUAAAUGAUAGAUAUUCUCACUGAAGCCAAAGGAAAAAGUUCAUGAAGAAAAUGCCCAAAGCCCUGUGGAUACAUCUCCCUAUUUUUUUUAAACCUCCCACUAUCACUCUAUGACACUGAAAAGAACCAGGUAAGCCCCAAACCCAGAUGUUCCAGCCUUAUCCUCAAUUGGGUUUACCCACAGAGAUGGCAAACCCCUGUCAGUGAGGAAGAUUCCCCAUCCUUGAGUGCCCCCAUCCUAGCAGUUUGGGCCAUAUUAUGGAAUAGGGGUCUCUUAUUUGAAAAGAGCACAGGGAGGCCAAGAUUUUAAUGGGGCACUUUAGGGGAUCCAGCCCACAAUGGCAUGGGCCUGCGGUGGCCGUGAUAUCUGCUUCUAAGCUUACCAUCUGCUCAGGCACAGAAUCAAUGUCUAGACUGGCCACAAAAGAAACUGAAUCCCAGGCCCAUACCCCAGCAGCAGAAUCAAACCAGUCUUCAAGGAAGGAAGGCUAGGAGAGUUUAACAAGAUGUUCACCGGGCCCAGCAUGGUGGCUCAUACCUGUAAUCCCAAGGCAGGAUGGUCGCUUGAGCUCAGGAGUUCAAGACCAGCCUGGGCAACAUAGUGAGACCCUAUCUCUAAAAGAUUAAAAAAUAAACAAGGUGUUCACCAAGCUGGGAUACUUCUCACUUUUAAGCCCCUAUCUUUCUCUCUCUUUUUUUUUUUUUCAUUCUCAAUUGCUUUGUGUGAUAAAAAACUAAAGAGACUUCUGGUCCAAUUUCUGGCAACAUCCCUUCUGAAAGGUGAGUAGAGUGGGUGUCUUCUAUGCCUGUUUUCCCCAAUUUUACACCAACUAUUAUCAAUGAACUUUUAAGUACCUAGAACGGGUAAAACCAAAGCAAGACUUUAAAUUACCUUCUUCUUGGGGCCCGGCGCAGUGGCUCAUGCCUGUAAUCCCAGCAUUUUGGGAGGCCGAGGAGGGCAGAUCAUGAGGUCAGGAGAUUGAGACCAUCCUGACUAACAUGGUGAAACCUCGUCUCUACUAAAAAUACAUAAAUAUUAGCCGGGCGUGGUGGUGGGCACCUGUAGUCCCAGCUACUCGGGAGGCUGAGGCAGGAGAAUGGCGUGAACCCAGGAGGUGGAGCUUGCCAUGAGCCAAGAUUGCACCCCUGCACUCCAGCCUGGGUGACAGAGCGAGAUUCUGUCUCAUAAAAUAAAAUAAAAUAAAAUAAAAUAAAAUUACCUUCUUUCUUCUACUGGCAAUUCUGCCUGCAUCACUAUCAGGCGAGGGUGACCUUCCCUUGGUCAAGCCCCAGUUGCCCAUGAUUUGUGCCUGUGUCCUUUCUCCAGUAACCAUUUGGUGACAGAUGGUAGAUACAGAAAGGGGAUGGCAUUUGCAAGUGACUGGUCUGCCACAAAAUGCUCAUCUGAUCAGCCACUGCUGCCCUGGUGAUGGCUUUGUAAGAGUCAAUGAGAACUAGAGCCAUGCUGUGGUCCCUGGCCAUCAAC